UAAAAAAGAAUAAUUUCCCAACGGCCAAAAUCUUCAACGUCGACGCCAGUGACGCUGUAAAUGCCGAGCACUGGCGAGAAAUCCGUCUGCAGCUACUCAACCUUGACACUUCCCGAUGAUUGGUCCGUCGUCGAAAAGCAACGCUGCUCCUUAGCCGCCAGCCCCGGCCGAGUCGACAAGUACUACUAUGAGCCUGGGACGGGAAAGACGUUUCGUUCACUGAUAUCUGUUUACAAAUAUCUUAGAGAAGGGAAAACAGAUACACCUAUGACCAAGAAAUUAAGAGCAGACAACAAAAGCUCUAUGCAAAUUAUACCCUACACGAUCAGGAGCAACUCAUCUUUCAUACUACCAGAUGAUUGAAUCAUUGAGGAAAAGCACCGUAAUAAUGCAAAUUAUGCUGGUGUCAUCGACAAGUAUUAUAUUGAGCCAGGGAGUGGGCAGAGAUUCCGUUCCUUAAGAGCUGUUGAAAGAUACCUAACAGAAGCAAGCCAUGAUACAAUGCCGCUGAAGGCAUUCCAAGAUGCCCAUAAACUUGAUGUAAGAGUGAUUACAUUAACUGGUAAAACAAGAUUUAUUUGCUCCUCCAAUAUCCUUUGAUCAACUUUCACAUCUUGUUCUAAGAAGAAAGAUGUAUCUGUCAAUAAAUGGUCCCUGAAAGCUGCUAAUAAAGACCCAACAAAAGGCAAAGAAAUUACAACUAGAGUGAAGACAGUCAAAUCCUGCAAUUAUUCUAGACCUUUAAAACAUUUUGGUAAUCUGAUGAAAAAUAAUUCUGGAGAAGACGUUCAAGAUUCAAUGACUGAUUUUUCCUGCCAACCAUCAAAAAUAAAUUGGAUUCUUGCUGGUGGACCUGGAGGAAAUAUGUGGAGCCCCUUCAUGGGUGAAUAUAUGGUCCCAGAAUCUGUAAAGCGGAAGUGGUCGGAAACAUUUAUAUCAUCCAUCCACAAGGGAAGCUUAAAUGGACCAGGUCAUUGGUGUGUGGCAUUUACUGCACCCUGGGAGUCAACUUACACUUUUAUUAUAUGCAAAAGAGGUUAGGUACAACUAGAUUUUUUCCUGUUCAUCUGCAUGUAUAAAAAUGAGGAUUGAAUUGCAGUGGGGAUGUCCACUAUGCUGCUUAAUAACAUCCAUUAAGAGGGUAUGAGGCCUGUCAUGGAUACUGGACUUUAAAUUUAUGCCUGUGGCAUUCAAAAGGAAAAUGUUACUUGUCACCAGUGGUGACGCAAAACCAGUGGGCUUUGAUAGUUGAUGUGGUGAUUUAAUUGACGUAAACUACGGUUCAUAUCUCAUAUAUGUUUCUAUUUUUUAAAUGAAACUAAUUAAUUAUCAUCACAUCAACUAUAGUCUCAUCCUUCGUGAUCUCCAAUGGUGACAAAUAGUCAAAUGGAGUCCAAUAAAAAGACCUAUAAAAAAAGAGCAUGCUGUAUUUUAUUGUUAGUACAUUUAAACAGAGUGUUACACUACAGGUAAAGAAUUUUUGUUUGGGGCAUCAAAAGGCAACAUUAUUUAUUUUCUAGUAUCGGUUUUUAAUGCAAAUUGUAGACUUAAGGACUGAAUAGAAAAGCUGUGGCUAAUGACCAUUGUUAGUUAUGAGCGGCCUUAUCUUCAUGAUUCAUGAUGUAACUUAUAAUAUUACAGGUAUUGCAGGAAGAAGUUUGUACUUCUUGUGAACCAUGUCCAGGUUCUUUUCAAUUUCAUUCCAGCAAUAUUGUAAAUUUGUAAAUAAAACCGCUCAACGGUCAAACCGUUGUACGUAUAAUGUAUUGUUAUUUUUGUUACCGAUUGUAGAGAUAAAA